rnacentral:rRNA from 1 species
CGCGUAUGCAACCUGCCCACGACAGGGGGAUAGCCCGGGGAAACCCGGAUUAAUACCGCAUGAAGCAGGGUGUCCCGCAUGGGACUAUUUGCUAAAGGAUUUCCGGUCGUGGAUGGGCAUGCGUCCCAUUAGCUAGUUGGCGGGGUAACGGCCCACCAAGGCAUCGAUGGGUAGGGGUUCUGAGAGGAAGGUCCCCCACACUGGCACUGAGAUACGGGCCAGACUCCUACGGGAGGCAGCAGUAGGGAAUAUUGGUCAAUGGGCGAAGGCCUGAACCAGCCAUGCCGCGUGCAGGAUGAA